UACGAAGGGGGCUAGCGUUGUCCGGAUUUACUGGGCGUAAAGAGCGCGUAGGCGGUCUGUUAAGUGUGAAGUGAAAUCUCCAGGGCUCAACCCGGAAACUGCUUUACAUACUGGCAGACUUGAGGAAUGCAGAGGUUUGUGGAAUUCCUGGUGUAACGGUGAAAUGUGUUGAUAUCGGGAGGAACACCAAUGGCGAAGGCAGCUCGCUGGGACGGUACUGACGCUGAGACGCGAAAGCGUGGGAGGCAAACAGG
rnacentral:rRNA from 1 species